rnacentral:rRNA from 1 species
GCAGAGGCCGGUGAGGGUGGGGCGGGAAUGAGGAGGGGGCGGGCGGGGUUGGGAGUUACGGGGCGUAAAGGGCGCGCAGGCGGCAGACGAAGGCAGGCGUGAAAGCCCCGGGCUUAACCUGGGAACUGCGUCGUGGACUGGUUUGCUAGAGAUCGGGAGAGGAGAGUGGAAUGCCCAGUGUAGAGGUGAAAUUCGUAGAUAUUGGGAAGAACACCGGUGGCGAAGGCGGCUCUCUGGACCGAGACUGACGCUGAGGCGCGAAAGCGUGGGGAGCAAACAGGAUUAGAUACCCCUGUAGUC